GAUCAUGGCUCAGGAUGAACGCUGGCGGCGUGCCUAACACAUGCAAGUCGAGCGAUUCUCUUCGGAGAAGAGCGGCGGACGGGUGAGGUAACGCGUGGGUAACCUGCCUCAUACACAUGGAUAACAUACCGAAAGGUAUGCUAAUACAGGAUAAUAUAAGAGAUUCACAUGGAUUUCUUAUCAAAGCUCCGGCGGUAUGAGAUGGACCCGCGUCUGAUUAGCUAGUUGGUAAGGUAACGGCUUACCAAGGCGACGAUCAGUAGCCGACCUGAGAGGGUGAUCGGCCACAUUGGAACUGAGACACGGUCCAAACUCCUACGGGAGGCAGCAGUGGGGAAUAUUGCACAAUGGGCGAAAGCCUGAUGCAGCAACGCCGCGUGAGUGAUGAAGGCCUUCGGGUCGUAAAACUCUGUCCUCAAGGAAGAUAAUGACGGUACUUGAGGAGGAAGCCCCGGCUAACUACGUGCCAGCCGCCGC
rnacentral:rRNA from 1 species